rnacentral:lncRNA from 1 species
AAAUGAUUGACACAGAGAAGAGCCAAUUGCAGCUUCGCCCCGCCUCCUAAAAUACGAGGUGACGUAACGCAUUUUCUUCCGGUAUCAGACACCACAACAGCCAACAGCACUGUUAGCUCUGAGGCUAACACAAGAAGCUAAAGUGGCAAAUACGACAACUGUAAACAUGUUUAACAAGCAAACGCUAAAAGCAAUGAUUAAUGAGCGACUUCGGAGACGGCUGAAGAGAUAUUUUGCUUUUUGAGCAAGCCGUAGCGGAGUAUCAGAGGGAAACUGAGCGCCUGAAACAUGUGGGUGAAGUUGAACAACUGGAGGCUGUUCCGAGUCCACAAUGGACUAAAGAAGUAGUUCAGCAAGAAGAGGUCGCUGAUGUUAUUUUGCACGAAGGACACGGUGAUUUUUCCCUGUGAAGUGAAAACGGAACCAUCGAUGACACAAGAGGAAGAAGCACAGAUGCUGAUCACAAAUGUAAAAAGUUAUGCAAUGGAGAUGAGUCACAGCUACGCGGACAAGAACACACAACAAACAGCGAGGCGAGUGGAGCAGCAGGGACAGAAAACUGCCCCGAGACAAGUCCAGAACCUGAGGAGGACGAUUCAGACAUGAGAUUUGAAACAUCAAAUAAAUCCUUCUGGUGAUCAGCCUGUAAGGUGUUGACCUGUUGUCUUCUGAUAAAAAUUACAGAAUGUGAUUGAUACAUACUUGUAUAAUUGAGUGCAGAUUAAACUCCCUUUUAAAAGCUUUUGAAAUGCUUUACAGCGGUGCCUAAUCAAUUCACUGGGUUAAGUGUUUUGCACCAUGUCACAAAUCAGAGAGUGAUGAAGGCCCCUAGCCGAAACGUGUUGGAGCACUUUUUACCUUUUCUAGCCAUGUGAUUCAAUAAAGGCUUUUUAAUAUUUCAAGAUGAGUGCCGUGGCAUUUCUUUUCCUUUUGUUGCCUAUUUGGCCUUUACCAAAGAGCACUAUUGUUUAACAAGAAAUAAGACAAGUAAAACAGUUCCAAGCAAAAAAAACA